rnacentral:antisense_RNA from 1 species
AUUGUUGGUAUUGAAAAUAACUGAUACCGUGCUUCCAGAAGAUUUUUCUAACAGUGUUUGCAGGCUAUAAAAUAGUGCUUUCACUUGGAAAAGGCUAGACGUGGUGGUUCAUGCCUGUAAUCCCAGCACUUUGAGAGGCCGAGGCACCAUGCCGGGAGAUAAGGAUCCAACAUAAGACAAACAGUGCUGAUGCUUUUGGAAAGCUCAUAUUCAAGCUGGGGAGACAAACAACAUACAAGAGGGCUCUGAGAGAUUUCAUUUCUGUCCUGCUGAUGAAGUCUACUUUCAUUCAGGGCCUGCUGUGGAAGACCAGCCCCCAAAGUUGCUGAACAGAAGACUUUUGAGAGUCAGCAGAAAUCUUCCACUUUGCAUGGUUCUCUUGAUGUGAAAUCAUCUAUAUAGCCCCAGAAUUGGAAAAG